CUCUAUUUUAAUAUUGCAUGAUUUUUGGAAAGAAGAUUAUUCAUGCUCACCUUUGCAUAAAUUUUUAAUAAAAAUUGUUUGGUUGCUCUUUUUGGAAGAUGUGAACAUUUGAAUUGAUACUAUUAUGAUGUAACAAAAAAAUUGAUACUAUUAAGAAAAUUAGUAUGUUUAUGUUGUGAUAAAUUAGUUUGUAAAAUUAUGAAAAAAUUCUCUAGUUAGACUAUGAUCUAGAUCUAAUCAAUGGGAUUGAUUAUUGGCUAUACAUUAGAAACUAAUUUUUUCUGGGCCUAAUCAGUCAAGGCUAAUCACUGACAGAGUUUGUCUUUCUAGGCCUAGCC
rnacentral:lncRNA from 1 species